CACAGGGUUUGCCACGAGGUCGUGAGCGCAGGCGCGGUAUAUAAGCCUGUGCACUGAUCUACAACUUAUUGCGCAGUCGAUCCUUCGAGGCACAACACACCAGACAACAUGCUCAGACUUAUCGUCCUGUUCGCCGCCCUCGUGGCCGUCGUCCUCGCCGCCCCCGGCUACUACAACCCCUACGCCCCCUUCGCCAGGUACGUCGUGCCCGCCCCCUACGCCUACCAUGCCGCCCCCGCUGUCUACCACUCCGUCGAGCCUGUAGAACAGCACGGCUACUCCAUCGUCUACUAGACAUCUCUCUCUGCAGCUCCUACCCUUUGUACCAUACGGCCCAACUGUUCUUCCAUUUAUUUAUGAAUUAAAAUUUAUUACGUCUGGUUAA